CCUACGGGUGGCAGCAGUGAGGCAUAUUGGUCAAUGGUCGAGAGGCUGAACCAGCCAAGUCGCGUGAGGGAAGAAUGUACAGAGUAUUGUACACCUCUUUUGUCAGGGAACAAAGUCACCGACGUGUGGGUGUUGGAGAGUACCUGAAGAAAAAGCAUCGGCUAACUCCGUGCCAGCAGCCGCGGUAAUACGGAGGAUGCGAGCGUUAUCCGGAUUUAUUGGGUUUAAAGGGUGCGUAGGCGGGUUGUUAAGUCAGCGGUAAAAGCGCGGAGCUCAACCCCAUCCAGCCGUUGAAACUGGUGAUCUCGAGUGGGCGAGAAGUAUGCGGAAUGCGUGGGGUAGCGGUGAAAUGCAUAGAUAUCGCGCAGAACUCCGAUUGCGAAGGCAGCAUACCGGCGCCCGACUGACGCUGAAGCACGAAAGCGUGGGUAUCGAACAGGAUUAGAUACCCUAGUAGUC
rnacentral:rRNA from 1 species